rnacentral:rRNA from 1 species
AGAGUACCGAAGUUCCGGAUUUCACACUGCCAAGAAAAGCCUCUAGUAAGUUCAUAGGUGCCCGUACCGCAAACCGACACAGGUAGGCGAGGAGAGAAUCCUAAGGUGAGCGGGAGAACUCUCGUUAAGGAACUCGGCAAAAUGACCCCGUAACUUCGGGAGAAGGGGUGCUCCUUUAAGGAGGAGCCGCAGUGAAUAGGCCCAAGCGACUGUUUAGCAAAAACACAGGUCUCUGCGAAGCCGAAAGGCGAAGUAUAGGGGCUGACACCUGCCCGGUGCUGGAAGGUUAAGGGGAAACGUUAGUGCUUCGGCACGAAGCGUAGAACCGAAGCCCCAGUAAACGGCGGCCGUAACUAUAACGGUCCUAAGGUAGCGAAAUUCCUUGUCGGGUAAGUUCCGACCCGCACGAAAGGUGCAACGACUUGGGCACUGUCUCAACGAGAGACCCGGUGAAAUUAUACUAUGCGUGAAGAUGCGCAUUACCCGCGACAGGACGGAAAGACCCCGUGGAGCUUUACUGUAGCCUGAUA